rnacentral:lncRNA from 1 species
AGCCUGAAAGUGCUGGCUUCCUGGCUGGUUGCUUAGAGAAAAGUCAAGUAGACCAAGUUUGACUGCACAAGCAAAUUCCCCAAAAUGAUUGCAACUUCAGGUCUAUAAAGAGAACAUUAACAAGGGACAAAGGAGGGUAUGAGCUCUAAGCAAGCAAGCAAAGAAGGUCCUCACCCAGAGAGCCCGACUUCCCUAGUAGGGAAAGGAGAGCUGCGGGGAGAAAGGAAUGGAAGUCACACCAAAUAUGAAGGAGGUCCUUCUGUUUCUCCUGUUACUUCACACACAGCUUUCAAGUGCUUUUCCUGUAUCUCCUAAAAGCCUCGAGGAGGAAAAAAUGGCAACUGUUCAGGAUUUCCUGUCUUCUCCCACAACCCUCCUUCCCACACCCACAUAUUCAUGGAAGGGUAGUAUGAUAUACUGGAAGCCAGGAGACCUGGAUCUGAGUUGUGAUUCCCUUAU